AUGGCAAGGAUCGGAUUGGAGGGAGAGAACAGGACAAGCUCGUCCUGGGUGCUGUUUGAACGGCAGCAGCGCAGUGCAGGGAGGAGGCUGUGGGUUGUGAAGGCUGACCCCAGACCUUGCUUGUGCUGGUUGGGGAACCCCAGGGGCUCCCUUAGGUUCUCUGGCUGGAGGGAAGGAAGUAGCCCUGGCCCAGGAGAUUGCGGUCACAUUGGAGUCUUUGAGGAGUAGGGGACUGGGUCACCUCCCCAGCCGCCCUUCUCCCUCCGGCCCUACACUUCAGGUUGACUUUUCCUGAGGUCCACCCGUCUGUCCAGUUCUUUAGUGCCUUGAAUCUCGUUCACAGCAGCCCCCUCCUUCUAGCCCCUCCUCUGGCCUCUUUGAUGUAGUUCUCCCCUGCCCCCAAUACCUCUCCUGGGACAGACAUCAAAAGAGGCCCUAACAGUUACUUCCCAAAUGGCGCUCUCUGGAACACCGUCACUACGUUGGGGGCGGUUUCUUUGCACCUCUCUCAUCUUCAGAAUGUAAAGGGUGGGGGUUGUGACUCCGUGUCACGUGCAGCCCCAGCGCAUUGUGGGGAUUUAGGCAUGUUCACUAGUGAGAAUGGUAGCAGUAGACCACAAGGGGUGUGAUAAGUGAAGCAUUAACUUGGUUGUUCUGGAUAUGAACCAGGUCUCGGGGCAGAGCCUGGAGCUGCUAUUGGUGGGGAAGUCGUAUGUGCCUUGAAAUGUCCACUACCUGAAGACCCAGCGUCUGGUGGGCCGGGGGUGCCGGGGCCCGAGGAGGAACUUGCCCUCCUGGUGCCUGCCCCCUCCCCGGCCUGCGUGCCAUCAGUGGGGGGUGUGUGAUGCUAGGUUAGCGUGGCCGGUUCCUUACCAAUUGUGCUUGCUUCUCCUAAGUUAUUUAUAAAGAGAAAUCACUAAUGGACUCUGCUGGUUCCAGUGCUUCUGAACUGGAUGAACGAUCGCCCAUAUGUUUGUAUGAUUAAUUGCCAUAAUAAACGUUGAUGAGUUAC